UACGAAGGGGGCUGAGCGUUGCUCGGAAUUAUUGGGCGUAAAGGGAGUGUAGGCGGCCUUGUUAAGUCUUCUGUGAAAUCUACGGGCUUAGCCCUGGUAAAGUGCAGAGGAAACUGGCGAGCUUGAGUGUCGGAGAGGGUAGCGGAAUUCCCGGUGUAGAGGUGAAAAUUCGUAGAGAUCGGGAGGAACACCAGUGGCGAAGGCGGCUACCUGGCUGACAACUGACGCUGAGACUCGAAAGCAUGGGGAGCAAACAGG
rnacentral:rRNA from 1 species